UACGUAGGGGGCAAGCGUUGGUCCGGAUUUAUUGGGCGUAAAGCGCGUGUAGGCGGCCAGAUAGGUCUGCUGUGAAAACUCGAGGCUCAACCUCGAGCUGUCGGCGGAAACCAUCUGGCUAGAGUCCGGAAGAGGAGAGUGGAAUUCCUGGUGUAGCGGUGAAAUGCGCAGAUAUCAGGAAGAACACCUAUGGCGAAGGCAGCUCUCUGGGACGGUACUGACGCUGAGACGCGAAAGCGUGGGGAGCGAACAGG
rnacentral:rRNA from 1 species